rnacentral:rRNA from 1 species
AAACAUGGACCAUGCCACCCUGAACAUCCCUGAUCUUGUCUGAUCUCGGAAGCUAAGCAGGGUCAGGCCUGGUUAUUACUUGGAUGGAAGACCACCUAGGAAUACCAGGUUCUGUAGGCA